UCCCUGGUGGCUCAGAUGGUAAAGCAUCUGCUUACAAUGCAGGAGACCUGGGUUCAAUUCCUGGGUUAGGAG
rnacentral:tRNA from 1 species